GAGCUGGUUGCCGUGGUCAAUGAACACCCUCAUGGACCUGUUGACACCCUUCAGGUACUGUGUGCGGUAGAGGUGCUGGCGGUCUUUGUCCCAGGCCACUGCAUGCUCUGGCCGGGCCCCAGGACAGGAGAUGAUGAGUCCAUGGCCCAGUCUCUGCUGGUGGAACUGAAUGGGCACCUGGGGCACCCAGGGCCGGCUGCCCACUUUGGACACAUAGUUAAUGAUGGCCAGCACGCCCUCCCGGAUGGUCUUUGUCUUCUCACAGGGUACUAAGCAGCUCCGAACCAGCACCUCAGGCGUGUGGUCCCUGGCCUUGGUCCGCAGCUUCCUUGGCACAGCCCUUGAGCCACAAGACACCACAUCGGGCACGGCCUUGAGGUAGCGUGGGGAGAGGUCUGGGCUCUGCAGGUAGCAGAGGCCGAUGCGCCACUGCUCCCCACGCACUCCGCAGCGGUCACAGGGGGUCCAUUCCCAGAAGGUGGUGAAGACAUGGAGGUGCCCAUAGUAUUCAUCUGCAAAGGGCUCCUGGCCCUUGUCCUGGAAAGUGGCCACCAUUCCCUCACUGUUCUGGAUGUCCACAUCGUAGGCGUAAAAGUAGUCCCCCUUGCGGGUGCCGCAGAAGUACAGGCCUGAGUCCUCAGACUGAGCCCUGAAAACCAACAAGCUGAACAUGCGGAUGCUGAAGCGGGUCAGCAUGUCGCUGCCCACACGUACCUGGGCUGCCUCCGUCAGCACCCGCCCAUCAAAGUCCGUCAGCACUUUGGUGUGGCUGCUACCUAGGUGCUUUUGGUAGAACCAGACUACAGCUGGCACCUCUUCGGGUUUGCAGUGACAGGGAAGCUCAAAGCUCAUGUCGGCCAGGUAGGCUGCAUUUUCAAACAUCAGGAAAGCAGGGCAGGGGGUCCUCUGAAAAAUGUUUUCCUUCUCCACAAUUUCAAAGGCCUGGAGCCCCCAUGCCCACAGGAGCACAGUGGUGAGGGCCAGGUGCAUACCUGAAGGAGGCAGGGGUCAGAGGGGCAGGGCAAAACCAGGGCAUUAAAGGCUCAUAGGGCUCCUAGAAAGCUCUGCUAAGCGGAAGCCUCUAGAUGAGGAAAGGAUUAUGCAGCCAGGAAAAGCAGCAACAAUCUGCAGAGGAAGCCGCCAAGUGCAAGGCAAUUUAUUCCCAGUGGAUGUACAAGAUGCCCUUCUAACAUUCCAGACCUGAUCUCAGGGUGGGGGGGGAAAGCCAUUCUAGAACCUGGCCUUUACUCCCCUUUCUAGAACACUGGCGCUCACCCAAGAAUGGGUCAAAGGAAACCGGAAUGAGAAGGGCGGGCCGAGGUGCUCGGGCAGGGAGAUCUCUGCCUCAGUGCUCCAGGCCCUGCCCUGCCAGCCUGGUGGAAAAGUCUUUCAUCAACCUGGGGGAUGAAGGAAACCCACCCUCCUGCAUAUCUGGCCAUCCGGGAGGCUGGCUGGACCUGAGCUGAUGGCUUGGGACUUUCCCAGGCCCAACCUGCACAAGAACUGAGUCUCUAGGGGAAAAUUCAACACCUCAAAUGAUGUAGUAUUUGAUCAUUUGUUGAUUACAUGUCCAUUCAUUGGUUUGGGGCUAUAAACAUUCUUGUUAAGAGCUGUGGAGAUCAGUGUUUGUUUACCAUAAAGAUUUUGCUUUUUCCCUUUUAUGAGUGGAGGCUGUAACUGGUAUAGCCAGCAUUUGGUUGGGCACACACUCAUCUCUCAAGGCCAGUGGGCUAGAGGCUUGGCAGACUCUAAGGGUGGGAAACAAAACC
rnacentral:lncRNA from 1 species